rnacentral:lncRNA from 1 species
CCUCGCUCCCUGCCUUGCAGUGCUGGCUUCCAAAAGGAUUCGGGGCUCUGUAUGGGAAGUGAAAGCCUUCCUAGUGCUCAUAUGAGUGUGAAAUCUGCUGAGCUGAUGGGAAGAGAGGGGAUAAAAGAGCAAACUCUGGAGAUACACACUGAGGUUGCUACUGCUCUUCAAGCCAGCCAAAAUAAGUGCUGUGAAAUUCCCACAGAGCAGAGAUUGCCUGGCUGAGGGAGAUAAAUCACUGCAAACAUUUGGAAGAGCCCAGACUUUGGUGUGUUGUGCCAGUGAAAUCACACGUCAGGAAUGAUCUGGGGUCCAAGUUUGGCUCCUGGUUGAGGGGGCCACCAAAUGAAUUUGGUUGUCACUGCUUGGCAGGCUAAGGGACCAAGCCAAUGUGAUGCUGGACAUCUUGGCCACGCUGGAUGGAGCUUGGAACAACUUGGUCUGGUGGAAGAUGUCCCUGCCCAUGGCAGAGGGGGUGGAACAGGAUGAGAUUUAAGGUCCCUUUAUGGCAAGGUAUGUUUAAACAAGCAAAACACUAAAGCUG